UCCAAGAGGCCUGCUUUUCUGGCCCAAUUGUAUCCCAAGUAUUGCAACUACUCCAUAAGCAACCAUACCAAUUAAUGGAAGAGGAACACCAAAUACAGCUGAGUAGCUGCUGUUGAGGAUGUCGCCACAGCUGGCACCAUCACCAACAGGACAAAAUGCUGCAGAGUUAGUUAACUUGAGGAACGUCAAGUAAGAAGUCUCAAGAAACCCAAUCCCACCAAGAGCUGCACACCAAUUGUAUGCUGAAAUGCCUGUAUCAGCAGGAGUAUCUGGCAAUACCACCUUAGAUUCUGAUUCUGUCUCUGCAUCUCCGACCUGCCUUGAUGAGCAGUUCACUCGAAGCAACAACAGUCGCCGAACCGAAUCUCUCUUGAGUUGAACGAGAGAAGAUAUGGAAUUAGAGCGAGAUGGAAGAAGAUGAGAGGUCUGGGUUGGAAAAGGAGAAGAUGAUACGCCGAUGAUACUGGCCAUCAGCUCAGAAUUGGAUACCACCGGCCGUGAGUAGUGGUGGUUUGACUAGCUCUGCGGUGGUUGUUGGUCGUUGGUUGAAGUGCAGAAAAUGUUG
rnacentral:misc_RNA from 1 species